CGAAAGCUUUGUUUACUUUCCUCAGUUUAGCUAAAAGGAGAUUCCUGGUCGGAAUAUUAUCGCUUUUUUACGAGAAAAAUGGCAUAAAAAUUGAUUUUAAACAGCGGUUGACAUGCUUCGAAGUACGGUAAUGGAAUAUUUAGAUUUUUUUUGUCACGGAUUGCGCCAUGCGCACGACCCUUAUUUACCAUUUCAGAUAGUGUCUGGGACGCACGAACAAAACGCCGCUAUUCGGAUAUAACGAUGGAUUAUUUUGGACCAAACCAACAUUUGUUAUUGAAGUAGCAGUCCUGGGAGUGCAUUCUGACGAAGACAACAAAAGGUGUUCAGGAGAGUGGGAGUGAACCACAACAGAGCUCCAGCAUGGCUCUUCCUCCAAGGACUUCAUCCACACGUCUCCACAACUAACCUCCACCUCCAGAUGCUCAGCAGCAUCAGAUAUGGCUGCUCCAUCACCAACUGAAGAGCCACAUAGUGUGUGACACUCACUGGCAAAACACUAGCCAUCACAGAGGAUCAUGACGAGGAAAGCCCACAACAGAAGAGUUCUGACACCACUGUGCGCAGAGAUGA
rnacentral:lncRNA from 1 species